CCUACGGGUGGCAGCAGUGAGGAAUAUUUGUCAAUGGACGAGAGUCUGAACCAGCCAAGUAGCGUGAAGGAUGACUGCCCUAUGGGUUGUAAACUUCUUUUAUAUGGGAAUAAAAUGUUCCACGUGUGGGAUUUUGUAUGUACCAUAUGAAUAAGGAUCGGCUAACUCCGUUCCAGCAGCCGCGGUAAUACGGAGGAUCCGAGCGUUAUCCGGAUUUAUUGGGUUUAAAGGGAGCGUAGGUGGAUUGUUAAGUCAGUUGUGAAAGUUUGCGGCUCAACCGUAAAAUUGCAGUUGAAACUGGCAGUCUUGAGUACAGUAGAGGUGGGCGGAAUUCGUGGUGUAGCGGUGAAAUGCUUAGAUAUCACGAAGAACUCUGAUUGCGAAGGCAGUUCACUGGACUGCAACUGACACUGAGGCUCGAAAGUGUGGGUAUCAAACAGGAUUAGAUACCCGUGUAGUC
rnacentral:rRNA from 1 species